rnacentral:rRNA from 1 species
GGAAUAUUGCACAAUGGGGGAAACCCUGAUGCAGCCAUGCCGCGUGUGUGAAGAAGGCCUUCGGAUUGUAAAGCACUUUAAGUUGGGAGGAAGGGCAUUAACCUAAUACGUUAGUGUUUUGACGUUACCGACAGAAUAAGCACCGGCUAACUCUGUGCCAGCAGCCGCGGUAAUACAGAGGGUGCAAGCGUUAAUCGGAAUCACUGGGCGUAAAGCGCGCGUAGGUGGUUUGUUAAGUUGAAUGUGAAAUCCCCGGGCUCAACCUGGGAACUGCAUCCAAAACUGGCAAGCUAGAGUAUGGUAGAGGGUAGUGGAAUUUCCUGUGUAGCGGUGAAAUGCGUAGAUAUAGGAAGGAACACCAGUGGCGAAGGCGACUACCUGGACUGAUACUGACACUGAGGUGCGAAAGCGUGGGGAGCAAACAGGAUUAGAUACCCGGG